rnacentral:piRNA from 1 species
UACUGGCGCCAUGUGUCUACCAGGCAAAGC